rnacentral:rRNA from 1 species
CCUACGGGGUGCAGCAGUGAGGAAUAUUGGUCAAUGGCCGGAAGGCUGAACCAGCCAUGCCGCGUGAAGGUCAGUGCCCUAUGGGCGUUAAACUUCUUUUGUGCGGGAGCAAUAAUGGUCACGUGUGGCCAGACGAGAGUACCGUACGAAUAAGCAUCGGCUAACUCCGUGCCAGCAGCCGCGGUAAUACGGGGGAUGCAAGCGUUAUCCGGAUUUAUUGGGUUUAAAGGGUGCGUAGGCUGUGAGGUAAGUCAGCGGGGAAAUGCCCCCGCUCAACGGGGUGAAGUGCCAUUGAUACUGCCUUGCUGGAAGGCGGAUGCCGUGGGAGGAAUGUGGGGUGUAGCGGUGAAAUGCAUAGAUAUCACACAGAACACCGAUUGCGAAGGCAUCUCACGAAUCCGCGAUUGACGCUGAUGCACGAAAGCGUGGGUAUCAAACAGGAUUAGAUACCCUUGUAGUC